rnacentral:lncRNA from 1 species
GAAGGAGAAAGGUGUUCUGCACGCCUGUUCUGUAAAUACAGUAAAGACUUCACAAAAGAAAUCUGAAAAGUGUCUGGUUGUGUAAGGUCCUCCUACACUGCAAGUGGUGCUGUAUCUAUUUUUCCUUUCUGUCUGUACGUAGCUUUUUGUUUUUAUCUCCAUUUUAGGGAGCAUUGACGCAUUAAGACAUGACUGGGACUGUAGCAGUCUGAAUCUGUGGUACGGUCACUUCGAGAUGGGUUAUGCCUAAUGUUAAUUCCAGGCAGCUUCUCAAGACAAUUCACCUAGGAGGGCACACGGAGGGCCUGAAGUAAGAUGGAGAACGAGACGAGCACUACCACCUCUGCCCCUGCUACCACUACUGCCAGUUCGCCGUCGUCCCGCACCCAGGCCCCCCCGCCACCUCUGUACAGCGCCCCCACCGACAGACAGGCUGUGCAGGUGAUCCAGCAGGCCAUCCACCGGCCACAGAGCAUGGCUGCGCAGUACCUGCAGCAGAUGUACGCAGCUCAACAGCAGCACCUCAUGCUUCAGACAGCUGCCCUGCAACAGCAGCACCUGAGCAGCACCCAGCUCCAGAGUCUGGCCACAGUCCAGCAGGCGACGCUGACAGGAGGCAGGCAGUCCUCAUCCCCCAACGGCAGUGUGUCACAGCAGUCGAAUGUCUCACAGACCUCGGUAGGUACAGUAGCUGCACCGUCACUGAUGGUCUUUCUGCUCACAUGACAGAGACGCUCUGGGGCUUUCACACUAGCAACUGACAGCACGAGCCCUCUGCCCCGCUUACUGCUAGCCUGUGGGCCUCACAAUUAGCUCUCUUCUUUUCAAACAAAAUGGAUGAUUUGAAGGUGAGUUACCAUAAAUUGCAUUUUAAUAUCAUUUUUCAGGUUUUAUUGAUGACCUGACCCUGCCU